rnacentral:rRNA from 1 species
GACGAACGCUGGCGGCGUGCUUAACACAUGCAAGUCGAACGGAAAGGCCCUGCUUUUGUGGGGUGCUCGAGUGGCGAACGGGUGAGUAACACGUGAGUAACCUGCCCUUGACUUUGGGAUAACUUCAGGAAACUGGGGCUAAUACCGGAUAGGAGCUCCUGCUGCAUGGUGGGGGUUGGAAAGUUUCGGCGGUUGGGGAUGGACUCGCGGCUUAUCAGCUUGUUGGUGGGGUAGUGGCUUACCAAGGCUUUGACGGGUAGCCGGCCUGAGAGGGUGGCCGGCCACAUUGGGACUGAGAUACGGACCAGACUCCUACGGGAGGCAGCAGUGGGGAAUAUUGCACAAUGGGCGGAAGCCUGAUGCAGCGACGCCGCGUUCGGGAUGACGGCCUUCGGGUUGUAAACCGCUUUCGCCUGUGACGAAGCGUGAGUGACGGUAAUGGGUAAAGAAGCACCGGCUAACUACGUG